CUGUGCGCUGUUGAAAGGGAUAAAGAAAAAAACAAAGCGGCUCUUUUCGUGUCUGUGCGUGUACUCAACUCUGCUACCCUUUCUCACACACGUGCCUGCGCUUCUGCGUGCAGUCCACUCUCACCGGUCCGCAUAUUUUACCGCUCUGCUUCCUCUCAGAAUAAACGAGGAGCCAUUCAACCGUGCGUGCUCGCACCUCUCUCAUCAUUGCAAUGGCCUUCCUGCACCGAGUACAGGCGGUGGUGGCACUGAACAACACUGGCAGCCGCAUCUUUGCCAAGUACUUCAUCGGGGAGGGCACCCCCGAGUCUUCUAAGGCGCUGGCGCCUCUUGAAAAGCAGCGCUCGCUGGAGCACGCCGUCUUUCAAGCCAUUCACGACCCGCGACGCGGCAACCAUGUCGCCUACGAGAGCGAGAUUCUCGUGGUGGAAGGGCACAUUGCUCUCUUCCACAUCAGCGAAGAUGUUACGAUCAUUGUCAUUGGCGCCGGCUCUGAGAAUGAAGUUGUGCUGUCGAACGUGUUGAUGGGACUGGUAGAUGCACUGCGCCAAGAACUCAACACACCCUCUCUGACAGCGCGUUUGUUACUGGAGAACUACUGUGCUCUUCUCAUGACAAUCGAUGAGAUGCUAGAUGAGGGAAUCAUCCUAGAAACAGACUCGGCCACCGUGGCGAACGAUUUGGAACCCUACUUGGUCGACGUUAGCAACGACACGGCGCGGGCCGCCCUCACUGGUGUCAACAAGUACCUGCGUGAUAAUUUGUAGCCUUUCUCCCCCCUCUCCGUCUUCUCUCACUCGUUUUCGUGUUUGCUCAUCUAUCUGACGUCAUCUUAGUUGCAUUUUGUGCUCUCUUCUCCAUGUUUCCCUCUCUUCACCGCAACACCCGCUCGGCAGUUGCAUCGCCGAUAGCGCCACCGCCGAGCAGCUUCGCCGCUGCCGGGUGAGCAUGCCUCAAGCACUGUUGCAACGAGAGGGUGGCUAUGUGACUGGAGAGAGAAGAGUGUUAGUCUGUUUUCUGCGUGGGAGGUGUUAGUCGUACAUCUGACUAAAAUGCGAAAGAGAGCGGCGCCAACCGGUCUUGGAAAGGCCACUUUAGAAAGCAAGGAUAACUCCUUUUGCUUUUCAUGUGGGGUUUUCUUCUGUACACCUCGUCUUCUGACUCAGCGUCCGCGUAAGCACAGCUAAGUGCGCGAGACAGCAUCGCUGCUCUUGACACCAUGCAGUGUCUUUCCUGUUCUCCACAGAAGAGAGCUGACCAACAUGGACUCCGUCAAGUCAAUGUAACUCACGUGACUAUUUGCUUCUAUUAUUCUUACCUGUAGCGUCCCUGCUCUGUCACUCUAACGGACCUGUUGGGAGCCAUCUUCAUGCUGCACGUCUUUCACAUUGCCCUCCUGCGCUCUUCUUCUGCAUUGCUCCCUCUUCUUGCUCAUGCUUUCGAGCGCUAUCGCGCUCAACGUGCGCAUCGUCUUGAUUCCUCUCCCUGACCCGAUGUGCGCUGUUGCUGCUGCACUCUAUCAACACAUCUACCACCCGGUUCAUUAG
rnacentral:misc_RNA from 1 species